rnacentral:rRNA from 1 species
GAUGAACGCUGGCGGCGUGCCUAAUACAUACAAGUCGAGCGAACAGACGAGGAGCUUGCUCCUCUGACGUUAGCGGCGGACGGGUGAGUAACACGUGGAUAACCUACCUAUAAGACUGGGAUAACUUCGGGAAACCGGAGCUGAUACCGGAUAAUAUAUUGAACCGCAUGGUUCAAUAGUGAAAGACGGUUUUGCUGUCACUUAUAGAUGGAUCCGCGCCGCAUUAGCUAGUUGGUAAGGUAACGGCUUACCAAGGCAACGAUGCGUAGCCGACCUGAGAGGGUGAUCGGCCACACUGGAACUGAGACACGGUCCAGACUCCUACGGGAGGCAGCAGUAGGGAAUCUUCCGCAAUGGGCGAAAGCCUGACGGAGCAACGCCGCGUGAGUGAUGAAGGUCUUCGGAUCGUAAAACUCUGUUAUUAGGGAAGAACAAAUGUGUAAGUAACUAUGCACGUCUUGACGGUACCUAAUCAGAAAGCCACGGCUAACUACGUG